GACGAACGCUGGCGGCGUGCUUAACACAUGCAAGUCGAACGAAGUGGCGAACGGGUGAGUAAUACGUGGGUAACAUGCCCUCAUGUUUGGGAUAAGCCUUGGAAAAGGGUACUAAUACCCGAUAUAGGGGGAUGGGAUCGCGGCCUAUCCGCUUGGUGGGGGGGUGGUGGCCUACCAAGGCGGUGCCGGGUAGCGGGCCUGAGAGGGUGAACGGCAACAUUGGGACUGAGAUACUGCCCAGGCUCCGAAGGGAGGCAGAAGUGGGGGAUAUGGCACAAGGGGUGAAAGACUGAUGCAGCGACGCUGCGGGGGGGAUGAAGGCUGUCGGGUUGUAAACCUCGUGCGCUAUCGAACGGGUAGGUGGAGAAGAAGCGCCGGCUAACUACGUGCCAGCAGCCGCGGUAAUAC
rnacentral:rRNA from 1 species